rnacentral:rRNA from 1 species
UACGUAGGGUGCGAGCGUUGUCCGGAAUUAUUGGGCGUAAAGAGCUCGUAGGCGGUGUGUCACGUCGUUCGUGAAAACCUGCAGCUUAACUGUGGGCGUGCGGUCGAUACGGGCAUCACUGGAGUUCGGCAGGGGAGACUGGAAUUCCUGGUGUAGCGGUGAAAUUCGUAGAUAUCGGGAGGAACACCAGUGGCGAAGGCGGCGACCUGGGCCAAUAUUGACGCUGAGGUGCGAAAGCGUGGGGAGCAAACAGG